rnacentral:lncRNA from 1 species
AUUCCCUGGCUGAGGAUAUGGCCCUCCCAGAAGUUGAGGGGCUUGGAUUUAGGCCUGGAAGAAAUGCUGAUAUAUCCUGCAGAAGGGCAAGAUAAGCUGUGAUCCAGAUGUUUUGGAAUACACAAGAAUGACCACGCCAAGAAACCCCGGCAAAUCAUCAACC